GGUGGGCAGGAAAGCGGUGCUCCGCGGCUUACGGUGGGCGCGCUGAGGGGAAGUGAGGAGACCCGCGUGGGGGCGGUCAGGGCGGGGCUCGACGCGCCGGGACAACGGCCCGGCCUUGUGGUCACCGCCCAGCUUCCCCGGACUCCGCCCCCCACCCCUCUGGGUCCUGGGCCUGGCCAGAGUCCCCGUUCCCCGAGUCACCGGGGGCCUUUGGCUCCGCGAUCCUGAGAGCUUGCACCCUCCCGCCACCCCACCCCUUGCCUGGCCCACUGUGUUCCAGCGCCCCUGAGUGUGAUUCGGACGGUUCCCUGUGAAGCACGGACCCGCCCCCCUCCACACACACGUGGUAUCCAGGGAGAGGUGGGCAGAGCUGCGGCCGUGCCCAGAAACUUGGUGUCGGCCAGGGGUGUCUGUCCAUGCUGCUGGAGGGGGGGACGGCACGAAGUAACAAAGUCUUCCCCAUGUCACUUGACACGUGUGGCCUGCUGGGAAGGAAUCCUGCCCAAGCACGCCUGUUCUCCAGGACAACCUGUGGGUGCCUGCCUGCCUGCCUCUCACCUGGGAGGUCAAGGGUCCCCACGGGCCUGGGAAGCGCCAGGAGGAUGCUGGCUCUCGCGAGAUCUGGGGCUUCCCAUUGAGCAGCCUUCACCCUUCCCCGCCUGAGGAUGUGGUCCACAGCGCACCGCCCCCCCGCCCCCCGCCCCCCCCCCCCCCGGCACCCCGGCAGGAUCAGGUGUCAGGGAACACGGGUUCGAGCCCUGGUCCGGGAAGAUCCCACGUGCCGCGCAGCAGCGAAACCCGUGCGCCACAGCUACUGAGCCCGCGAGCCUGAACUACUGAAGCCCGCGUACCUGAGCUCGUGUUCCGCAACGAGAGAAGCCACUGCGGUGAGAAGCCCGCACACCGCAACUAGAGAAAGCCCGCGCGCAGCGACGAAGACCCACCACAGCCAAAAAUAAAUAAAAUUUUAA